rnacentral:rRNA from 1 species
GGAUAACCUACCCUUAGGACCGGGAUAACUCUGGGAAACUGGGGAUAAUACUGGAUAGGCAAUUUUUCCUGCAAUGGUUCUUUGUUUAAAUGUUUUUUCGCCUAAGGAUGGGUCUGCGGCCGAUUAGGUAGUUGGUUAGGUAACGGCUUACCAAGCCAUUGAUCGGUACGGGUUGUGAGAGCAAGAGCCCGGAGAUGGAACCUGAGACAAGGUUCCAGGCCCUACGGGGUGCAGCAGGCGCGAAACCUCCGCAAUGUGAGAAAUCGCGACGGGGGGAUCCCAAGUGCCAUUCUUAACGGGAUGGCUUUUCAUUAGUGUAAAGAGCUUUUGGAAUAAGAGCUGGGCAAGACCGGUGCCAGCCGCCGCGGUAACACCGGCAGCUCUAGUGGUAGCAAUUUUUAUUGGGCCUAAAGCGUCCGUAGCCGGUUUAAUAAGUCUCUGGUGAAAUCCUGUAGCUUAACUGUGGGAAUUGCUGGAGAUACUAUUAGACUUGAGACCGGGAGAGGUUGGAGGUACUCCCAGGGUAGAGGUGAAAUUCUGUAAUCCUGGGAGGACCGCCUGUUGCGAAGGCGUCUAACUGGAACGGUUCUGACGGUGAGGGACGAAAGUUAGGGGCGCGAACCGGAUUAGAUACCCGGGUAGUCCUAACUGUAAACGAUGCGGACUUGGUGUUGGGGUGGCUUUGAGCUGCUCCAGUGCCGAAGGGAAGCUGUUAAGUCCGCCGCCUGGGAAGUACGGUCGCAAGACUGAAACUUAA